UACGGAAGGUCCGGGCGUUAUCCGGAUUUAUUGGGUUUAAAGGGAGCGCAGGCCGUAGAUUAAGCGUGACGUGAAAUGCCGCGGCUCAACCGUGGAAGUGCGUCGCGAACUGGUUUACUUGAGUGGGUACGAUGCAUGCGGAAUUUGUGGUGUAGCGGUGAAAUGCUUAGAUAUCACGAAGAACCCCGAUUGCGAAGGCAGCGUGCAAGUCCCUUACUGACGCUAAUGCUCGAAAGUGCGGGUAUCGAAC
rnacentral:rRNA from 1 species